rnacentral:rRNA from 1 species
GGCUAAACAUAUUACCGAAGCUGUGGAUUGUCCUUUGGACAAUGGUAGGAGAGCGUUCUAAGGGCGUCGAAGCAUGAUCGCAAGGACAUGUGGAGCGCUUAGAAGUGAGAAUGCCGGUGUGAGUAGCGAAAGACGGGUGAGAAUCCCGUCCACCGAUUGACUAAGGUUUCCAGAGGAAGGCUCGUCCGCUCUGGGUUAGUCGGGUCCUAAGCUGAGGCCGACAGGCGUAGGCGAUGGAUAACAGGUUGAUAUUCCUGUACCACCUAGUAUCGUUUUAAUCGAUGGGGGGACGCAGUAGGAUAGGCGAAGCGUGCUGUUGGAGUGCACGUCCAAGCAGUAAGGCUGAGUGUUAGGCAAAUCCGGCACUCAUAAGGCUGAGCUGUGAUGGGGAGAGGAAAUUGUUUCCUCGAGUCGUUGAUUUCACACUGCCGAGAAAAGCCUCUAGAUAGAUAACAGGUGCCCGUACCGCAAACCGACACAGGUAGUCAAGAUGAGAAUUCUAAGGUGAGCGAGCGAACUCUCGUUAAGGAACUCGGCAAAAUGACCCCGUAACUUCGGGAGAAGGGGUGCUCUUUAGGGUUCACGCCCAGAAGAGCCGCAGUGAAUAGGCCCAAGCGACUGUUUAUCAAAAACACAGGUCUCUGCUAAACCGUAAGGUGAUGUAUAGGGGCUGACGCCUGCCCGGUGCUGGAAGGUUAAGAGGAGUGGUUAGCUUCUGCGAAGCUACGAAUCGAAGCCCCAGUAAACGGCGGCCGUAACUAUAACGGUCCUAAGGUAGCGAAAUUCCUUGUCGGGUAAGUUCCGACCCGCACGAAAGGCGUAACGAUUUGGGCACUGUCUCAACGAGAGACUCGGUGAAAUCAUAGUACCUGUGAAGAUGCAGGUUACCCGCGACAGGACGGAAAGACCCCGUGGAGCUUUACUGUAGCCUGAUAUUGAAAUUCGGCACAGCUUGUACAGGAUAGGUAGGAGCCUUUGAAACGUGAGCGCUAGCUUACGUGGAGGCGUUGGUGGGAUACUACCCUAGCUGUGUUGGCUUUCUAACCCGCACCACUUAUCGUGGUGGGAGACAGUGUCAGGCGGGCAGUUUGACUGGGGCGGUCGCCUCCUAAAAGGUAACGGAGGCGCUCAAAGGUUCCCUCAGAAUGGUUGGAAAUCAUUCAUAGAGUGUAAAGGCAUAAGGGAGCUUGACUGCGAGACCUACAAGUCGAGCAGGGUCGAAAGACGGACUUAGUGAUCCGGUGGUUCCGCAUGGAAGGGCCAUCGCUCAACGGAUAAAAGCUACCCCGGGGAUAACAGGCUUAUCUCCCCCAAGAGUUCACAUCGACGGGGAGGUUUGGCACCUCGAUGUCGGCUCAUCGCAUCCUGGGGCUGUAGUCGGUCCCAAGGGUUGGGCUGUUCGCCCAUUAAAGCGGUACGCUAGCUGGGUUCAGAACGUCGUGAGACAGUUCGGUCCCUAUCCGUCGUGGGCGUAGGAAAUUUGAGAGGAGCUGUCCUUAGUACGAGAGGACCGGGAUGGACAUACCUCUGGUGUACCAGUUGUCGUGCCAACGGCAUAGCUGGGUAGCUAUGUAUGGACGGGAUAAGUGCUGAAAGCAUCUAAGCAUGAAGCCCCCCUCAAGAUGAGAUUUCCCAACUUCGGUUAUAAGAUCCCUCGAAGAUGACGAGGUUAAUAGGUUCGAGGUGGAAGCGUGGUGACACGUGGAGCUGACGAAUACUAAUCGAUCGAAGACUUAAUCAAUUUUUAAA